AUUGAACGCUGGCGGCAUGCCUUACACAUGCAAGUCGAACGGCAGCGGGGACUUCGGUCCGCCGGCGAGUGGCGAACGGGUGAGUAAUGUAUCGGAACGUACCAUUCAGUGGGGGAUAACUAUCCGAAAGGAUAGCUAAUACCGCAUAUUCUGUGAGCAGGAAAGCGGGGGAUCGCAAGACCUUGCGCUGAUUGAGCGGCCGAUAUCAGAUUAGCUAGUUGGUGAGGUAAAGGCUCACCAAGGCGACGAUCUGUAGCGGGUCUGAGAGGAUGAUCCGCCACACUGGAACUGAGACACGGUCCAGACUCCUACGGGAGGCAGCGGUGGGGAAUUUUGGACAAUGGGGGCAACCCUGAUCCAGCCAUGCCGCGUGAGUGAAGAAGGCCUUCGGGUUGUAAAGCUCUUUCGGCCGGGAAAAAAUCGCAUGGGUUAAUACCCUGUGUGGAUGAUGGUACCGGAAUAAGAAGCACCGGCUAACUACGUGCCAGCCGCCGCGGUAA
rnacentral:rRNA from 1 species